rnacentral:rRNA from 1 species
GAUGAACGCUGGCGGCGUGCCUAAUACAUGCAAGUAGAACGCUGAAGGAGGAGCUUGCUCUUCUGGAUGAGUUGCGAACGGGUGAGUAACGCGUAGGUAACCUGCCUGUUAGCGGGGGAUAACUAUUGGAAACGAUAGCUAAUACCGCAUGACAACAGUUAUUGCAUGAUAACUGUUUAAAAGGGGCAGCUGCUCCACUACCAGAUGGACCUUCGUUGUAUUAGUUAGUUGGUGAGGUAACGGCUCACCAAGGCGACGAUACAUAGUCCAACUGAGAGGGGGGUCAGCCACACUGGGAGUGAGACACGGCCCAGAGUCCCACGGGAGGGAGCAGGAGGGAAACUUCGGGAAUGGACGGAAGUCUGACCGAGCAAGGCCGCGGGAGGGAAGAAGGUUUUCGGGUCGGAAAGCUCUGUUGUAAGGGAAGAAAGAGUGUGAGAGUGGAAAGUUCACACUGUGACGGUAUCUUACCAGAAAGGGACGGCUAACUACGUG